GUUUGAUCCUGGCUCAGAACGAACGCUGGCGGCAGGCCUAAAACAUGCAAGUCGAACGAACCUUCGGGUUAGUGGCGCACGGGUGAGUAACGCGUGGGAAUGUGCCUCUGGGUGCGGAACAACGUCGGGAAACUGACGCUAAUACCGCAUAAUGUCUACGGACCAAAGAUUUAUCGCCCAGAGAUCAGCCCGCGUCUGAUUAGCUAGUUGGUGAGGUAACGGCUCACCAAGGCUACGAUCAGUAGCUGGUCUGAGAGGAUGAUCAGCCACACUGGAACUGAGACACGGUCCAGACUCCUACGGGAGGCAGCAGUUAGGAAUAUUGGACAAUGGGGGAAACCCUGAUCCAGCCAUGCCGCGUGUGUGAAGAAGGCCUUAGGGUUGUAAAGCACUUUCGGCUGUGAAGAUAAUGACAGUAGCAGAAGAAGAAGCUCCGGCUAAAUUCGUG
rnacentral:rRNA from 1 species